CUGCAUUAUGAUUAACAUUUCAAGGACAUGUUUGUACAUGUUCUUUAAAAUAUAAUGCGAAAUCAAAAUAGUGGGGAUUCCAAAGCCAGUUUUUCUUAUCCCAUGAAGACUGGUCAUUUCACCCCCCAUACAAGU
rnacentral:snoRNA from 1 species